GCAUCCACUGAGCUUCUGUGUCUAAGUAUUUCCAUGGAAAUAUCAAGAGCAUAUGGAUAAUAUACUGUCUUACAAAUGGAUGACAGGUUGCUUCACACAGUAAUGUUUUUAUAUCUCAAGUCAAAAGCAGGUCGUGCGAAUGGAGAAACGCUGGAAGGUCUGGUCAGGAGCAGGCCGGGACUGCUCAGCCCAUGGCUGUAUGAGGCACGGCCCUGGGGGCUGCCCAGCGGCCAGUGAGGUAGACAGGGAGGAGGUGAAACGCACAGGACAGUGAUGUAAUUGUCAACCUGGGAUUCCGAGAGGGUUUCCUUUAAAGAUCAUAAAAAAAAUUCGGUAAUGUGACUGGAUUACAUAACUGAUACACAAAAAUCAACAGUUUUUCUAUACAAGAAAAUAGUAAUGGAAAAAAUAAAACCGCUAUGAAUAAACGUAUAAAGAAAUGUGUAAAAUUUAAGUGAAGAAAACUUUAAAAUCUCACUGGAGGAUACAGCAGGCUUGGGCAGGGGGUAACUUGUGCCCACAUUGCUGCCGGGUGCUCCUCUGUAGCAUGAAUACCCCUUGAGAUCCUAACGACAGGACUGCAAGUAGCCGGGUGAGACUGGCAUGUGCAGGAUGGAUCCAAAAGCCUCAAAUACAUACAGAAAUUCAGUGCAAGGUAAAAGUGGCACCUCAGUGGGGAAAAGAUGGGUUAUCCCAGAUGAGCUUCCAGGUGAAUCAUAGGUUAACAAUGAAAGUAUAAAAGUCCCAGGAGAAAAUAUGGAAAACAAUUUCAGUUAUUAAUUUUUCAUUUUGGAAUAAAAACUGGCAGUCAUAUAAGGAAGAGAUCAACUCAACCACAUACAAAUUAAAAUUUUCUGGGUGGAAAAAGCAUAACCAAAAUCAAAAGACAAAUGACAAACUGGGAGUCUUAAGUUAAUGGACACAUUGGCCAUUUCAGUCUUUUUCUGCUGCAAACAGUGACACUAAAACUCUCCAUCUGCAGCUGUCACUUAACGGAUUUCCAAGGACACCUGUCGGGUAAAGCACUGCAGCAUGGACAGCGGGUGGAAGGCAGGGCAGGGGCAGUAUAAUUUGAGUGGACAUUGCUGACUUGUCUCCUGCCUGUUUUUCUACAUCCUUGCCAAAACAAUGAUAGCAAACUUUAAUUUUUCCUACUCUAGUAAGUGAGUAAUUGCAGCUGGUCUAAUGUGCGCUGGCUCCGACUCUGGGGACAGAGCCCACCUAGGCAGGCACAACGGGCAGCUGCCAGGAGCCACCCUUCCCCCGCUGCUUUUGGGAGCCUCCAGCAAAGAGGGUGGACCUGCCCAAGGCCGCUUUCUCGGCGUCCCCUGCAGCUGAGCCCUGAGGAGACACCUGUGGAGGGGGACCCACCUUCCUGUGGACACCAAACGUGGACGGCAGAUGGCUCUGGGAGUGGCAGGCAGAGGGUGACGCCCGGGUCCCCUGGGCUCUGUCCUCACGACCCUGCCCCGAGGCGGGAGGAGACCUGCCUUCCACUGGACUGUCUCUACUUCCCACCAGGUUCAACUAUUAACUAUUUUUGUAAUAAAAAGUGUUUUAAAGAGGUAAACAUAACAAAGGAAUUGUUUUAAUAAGAGAUUUAAAAAUCCAAACAUCACUUUUUCUGCCAAUAUUCAGUAAACUUAAUGGAAUGUGUCACUUAUUAAUUAGGGUAUUGACAGUCUUUCUCCAAAGGUUUUGAAAUGACACCUCGCAGUAAAGUUCUACCUUUCCUUCUGAAGAAGCUCGGGCGUGGAGACCCUCGAGGUCCUUACAGGUGUUGCAGCCUCAGCAGAUGCUCCUCCUUGGCUUUGCUGUGAUGUGUGUUUCAGUUUGGUGUCCAGGAAGCAGGGCCGGUCCCCCAGGGAGCCUUUGUGGGGGAGAUGCCAGCGGGUCUGAGGUCUGAAGGUUUCCCGUCAGCCUCACCUGUAGGGCUGCCGCCUGCGCCUGCCCUGCCUCUGGAGGAGGAGGGUUAACCAGCCCUGUGCCUUCUGUUCACUUGGGGUCACUCGGUCCCACUACAAGUUUGCUUUCCCCUUUGUUAUUUAAUGUCGAUGUUAAAGCCACUAAGAGCGUUGCCUGUUUCUACACUGAAGUCACUGGACAUGAAGAGAGCCCAUUUUUAUAUUUUAUAUAAAAUAUAUAACAUAAAUACGUAUUUCUGUAUUUUAUAGGUUUAUUUAAGUAUAUUUUUAAAUUUCUAUGUAUGCACAUACAUAUCAGGAUAAAGCAAAUAGAUUGAGGUUGUUAGCAACCAAGGUUUUUCGUAGAAGACAAAUGUGAUGUUAUAAUUCAAAGCCUUGUCCACUGAAAAUGCCCAAAGCAGUCUUAGCUCAUUGGCAGUAGCGCCCCUGGAAAGAGACAUGGGACUUCGUGUGCUGUGGCCACAUGCCUACAGUUGAGAAUCAAUCAACCGGAGUUCUCAUUUGCCAGCAACAGGACUCCACACCGCACUCAACACAGGGGGGCUUUGUUGGUGCGUGUUCUCAAUGGCGGAGCCAGAACUAGGCUUGGACACAGAUGGGGGGCCUGGGCACAGGGAACACAGCUGGGGCCCAGCAGACCUGCCCCUUUUGUGAUGAACUGGACAUCCAGUUGUGUCCACUUCCUUAAACCCGCAUGUAAGCCCCAUGGGAGCAUCUGAUUUGCCUCACCUGGGGUAAGUGUUGUCCCCAUGGUGAAUGGGGUGGGAGGGGAAGAUCUCCAGCAGCAGGCGUGAUGAAAGAAUAUCCAAAAAGGAGAUGGGGCUGCAGGUAGGAAGGCACACAGAUGACCACUAAAAAUGUAAUUUCAUCAAGGUUCUGCUUAGAAAAGAAACAACCAAAAAUUGAAGGUGAACAUAACUUAAGACCCAGCAAUCCCAUUCUAAAUGUCUAUAUACUGAGUGUCUAAACACUAAGAAGUCUCCCACCUGUGUGCAAAGAGACGUUAGCAAGGAUGUUGAUUGUAGUAAUGGAGUAAGAGUGGAAAAAAGAGGGAACUUAAAUGUCAUCAAGAAGAAUGUGAUCUAUUCACAUAGUGAAAUACUAUUACCAGUUAAAUGAACUAAAACGAUGUGUCAACUUGAAUAAAUUUUGACUGUGUAAAUGAGUGAAAAGGUCAAAUGUACACUAUGGUAGCAUUUAUAUAAAGUUUAGAAACAUACAAAGCCGUAUAAGCAUGUAUAUAUUUUCAGAAUAUGUUUAUAUGCAGAAUAGGUAUAAAAACCUGGAUGGAGAGGAACGGACCGAUGUCCAGAGACAGUUCUCCGACCUUCUACACGUCAGCACGUCUUGCAGGCGAGGCCCUGCCUGCCUUGUGUUCUGCACUAUCUUUAGAAGGAUGUUCGUGUAGGUAACAGACUUGGGAGACAGAGAUGUGUCUCCUUCAGCUCCUCUCCUGUGACACAGCCCGCUAUGCUGGCAGGUGCCAUCUGGCCCUCUUGGCAUGGCCCUGUGAGAAUUGGGGCUCAGAAUAUUGGUGCAAAAAUGCUAAUACUGCUAUUGCUGUGGGUAAUGAAUGGUCCCUUGUCUCUGACCCUGGAGUUGCAUGCCUUCUGCCAGCAUCCAAGACACUGUAACAGGCGAUAUUAUCAGCUUACAAAUGGGGGAAAUUUUCAGAUUCUUCAUAACUCUUGACAAUUACCUUCAGGCUAAGCGUUGUCUCUAGGAAGGGAGGAAGGGGCCUCGAAUAAGAGAGGGGUCAAAGGGAGGCUGUACAUUUCAGUUCUCAAGAAAAAGCUCUGAAACAAACAUGGCCAUGUGAUAGUA